rnacentral:rRNA from 1 species
AUUGAACGCUGGCGGCAGGCCUAACACAUGCAAGUCGAGCGAGCGGCGGACGGGUGAGUAAUGUAUGGGGACUGCCCGAUAGAGGGGGAUAACUACUGGAAACGGUGGCUAAUACCGCAUACUAUCGGAUAACCCAUAUGGGAUUAGCUAGUAGGUGGGGUAAAGGCUCACCUAGGCGACGAUCGCUAGCUGGUCUGAGAGGUUGAUCAGCGACACUGGGACUGAGACAGGGGCCAGGCUGGUACGGGGGCAGCGGUGGAGAAUAUGGCGAAGUGAGGGCGAGCCUGAUGCAACGGCGCCGGGUGGGGGAUGACGGCCUUCGGGUUGGAAACUCCUUUGACCAUCAACGCGUUAGAUGUAGAAGAAGCACCGGCUAACUACGUGCCAGCAGCCGCGGUAAUUC